CCGAGUUAGGGUACUCUUCGUGCCCGACCUCCAACCCUUUGUCUACCUGACCAGAUGUUGCUUCGGCAGGCCCGCCGCCCCGCAAGGGGCAGCCGCCGGGGGUCCUUACCGGCCCCGGGUCCGUGCCUGUCGAUGGCCCUUCUAAAACUCUUGCUUAAACGUGUCGUCUGAGUAAAACAAACAAAAUAAAAACA
rnacentral:misc_RNA from 1 species